GAUGAACGCUUCCGUGCAGACUUACUACAUGUGAUUCCAGGGGCACCGGAUGCCCUCAGGGGAUGCCGGCACACUGGCGAGCUCGUGACUAACACGUAUGGAAUCUACCCUUAACUGGGGAAUAGCCUUGAAAACUCCAGGGUAAUGCCCCAUACCAUCUCCAAAAGGCAUCUUUUCUGGAUGAAAGCAUCCUGGCGAUUCAGGACGGCCAUGCGCUCCAUUAUUCUUAUUGGUGAUAUAACCGCUCACCAGGCCACUAUGGAUAGCUGAUCUGAUACGAUGAUCACCCACAUUGGCACUGAGACACGGGCCAAACUCCUACUGCAGGCACCUCUACGGAAUCUUGGUCGAUUGGCCAAAGCCGUAACCAGUCAUGCCGCGUGCAAGAUGAACGCCCUAUGGGUCCUAAACUGCUUUUAUUCAGGAAGAAAAACUCUGUUUCCACAGAUUUUGACCGUACCGAUUGAAUAAAGACGGGCCAACUCCGAGCCACCAUCCGCGGAAAUACCGAUGGUCCAACCAUUAUCCGGAUUCACUGGGUUUAAACGGUGCGCAGGCCGCCAAGUAACUCAGUGGUGAAAGCCUUCCGCUCAACCGGAUAAUUGCCAUUGAAACUACUUGGCUUGACUGCAGUAAAGGUAGGCGGAAUGUAUCAUGUACCGGUGAAAUGCCUAGAUAUGCUACAGAACACCGAUAGCGAAAGCAGCUUACCACACUGUAACUGACGCUGAUGCACGACAGCAUGAGUAGUCAAACAGGAUUAUAUACUGUGGUAGUCCAUAUCCGUAAACUUCGAACACUACGGAGUUUACCUCCUAGUGCGUAAUGCUCCAUAGCGAAAGCAUCUAAGUGUUCCACCCGUGGAGUACGGCCGCAAGGGUAAAACCAUAAGGAAUUGAGGGGGGCCUGCACAACGCCGGAGGAGCAUGUGAUUCAAUUCGAUGAUACGCGCGGAACGUUACCCGGGCUAUAAUGCAUGUGACAGAUCUGGAAACAGAGUCUUCAUUAGGGACACAGCGCAAGGUGCUGCAUGGUUGUUCGUUAGGUAAUGCAGUGAGGUCUCGGUAUAAGUCUCUUAAUGCGCGCAACCCGUAUGCUUAGUGGCGCAACACCAUCAGGCGGGCAUUCUAAAGAAAGCGCCUAGUUAGGUUGAGAGGAAGGUGUCGAUGACGUCAAGUCAUCUUGUCCUUUAUGCCCGGGGAUACAUACUUGCUACAAUGGUGGGUACAGAGGGAAGCCAGUUGGCAACAAGGAGAUAAUCCCAAAAGCGUAUCACAGUUUUGAUUGGAGUCCGCAACUGGAUUCCAUGAAGGUGGAUUAGUUAGUAAUCGUGGAUCAGCAACGUCAGGGCGAAUACGCUCCCGGUCUUUGUACACACCGCCCGUCAAGCCAUGGAAGUGGGGAGUACAAGAAGCCAGUAACUGUACAGGAGCUCGUGAGGGUAAGCCUGGCAAAGGGGGCU
rnacentral:rRNA from 1 species